rnacentral:rRNA from 1 species
UUCGGGGAAUGCUUAGCGGCGGACGGGUGAGUAACACGUAGGCAACCUGCCUGUCAGAUCGGGAUAACUAUCGGAAACGAUAGCUAAGACCGGAUACCUGGUUUCUCCGCAUGGAGAGAUCAUGAAACACGGAGCAAUCUGUGGCUGACAGAUGGGCCUGCGGCGCAUUAGCUAGUUGGUGAGGUAACGGCUCACCAAGGCGACGAUGCGUAGCCGACCUGAGAGGGUGAACGGCCACACUGGGACUGAGACACGGCCCAGACUCCUACGGGAGGCAGCAGUAGGGAAUCUUCCGCAAUGGACGCAAGUCUGACGGAGCAACGCCGCGUGAGUGAUGAAGGUUUUCGGAUCGUAAAGCUCUGUUGCCCUAGACGAACAGCAAGGAGAGUAACUGCUCUUUGUGUGACGGUAUAGGAGAAGAAAGCCCCGGCUAACUACGUGCCAGCAGCCGCGGUAAUACGUAGGGGGCAAGCGUUGUCCGGAAUUAUUGGGCGUAAAGCGCGCGCAGGCGGCUUGGUAAGUCUGGUGUUUAAGCCCGGGGCUCAACCCCGGUUCGCAUUGGAAACUGCCAGGCUGGAGUGUAGGAGAGGAAAGUGGAAUUCCACGUGUAGCGGUGAAAUGCGUAGAGAUGUGGAGGAACACCAGUGGCGAAGGCGACUUUCUGGCCUAUAACUGACGCUGAGGCGCGAAAGCGUGGGGAGCAAACAGGAUUAGAUACCCUGGUAGUCCACGCCGUAAACGAUGAGUGCUAGGUGUCGG